GUUUGAUAAGAAAUCCUCCUACAAAUAAAGAAACAAACAAGAAAAUCUAAAGUGAUAUCAAAGAGCUUUUGAAGACCCCUGCAAGUCUGCUAUAUAACUUCAAAACUGUUAAAGAAGCCAAAUGCCUUCUAUUCCUAUAAUAAUGGCGCAAUGAAUGAUGAUUCUUAAAGAUUUUUGCAUUAUGCUUCAAUCAAACACACCAUGCCAAAAAGAGCAGAAUACCCAAGACCUUUUGAUUUUUUCGUACGCUUGACUCAGCAUGAGAGAAAUUGCGAAUGCACUACAUCAUACAUCAAAAAGAGAGAA
rnacentral:misc_RNA from 1 species